rnacentral:rRNA from 1 species
GUAGCAUAAUAAUUUGUUUUUUAAAUGGAGACUGGUAUGAAAGGUUUUACAUAGUUUAUUAUUUUUUAUUUUUAAAUAUUUAAAUUAGGGUAAAAGUAAAAACACUUUUAUUUUUUAAAAAGACGAUAAGACCCUAAAAGCUUUAAUAUAUUUUAUAAUUUUAUAUAUUUAUUUUAUUAAUUAUUUUAACUGGGGUAGUAUUUUAUUUUUAAUAUAAUAAAUAUAAACUAAAGGGGUUUAUAACCCUAUUCAUAAGGGUUUAUUUAAGUUACUUUAGGGAUAACAGCAUUAUUAGAUUUUAAAGAUCUUAUUAAAAAUUUAGUUAAUGACCUCGAUGUUGAAUUAAUAUUACUUUUUGGCGCAGCUGCUAAAUUAGUGGGUUUGUUCAACCUUUAAUUUUUU